rnacentral:rRNA from 1 species
CCUACGGGUGGCAGCAGUGGGGGAUUUUGCACAAUGGGGGGUACCCUGAUGCAGCGACGCCGCGUGGGUGAAGACGCGCCUCGGCGCGUAAAGCCCUGUCAGCAGGGACGAAAAUGACGGUUCCUGAAGAAAACGCCCCGGCUAACUCCGUGCCAGCAGCCGCGGUCAUACGUAGGGGGCCAGCGUUAACCGGAUGUACGGGGGGGAAAGGGGGCGCAGACGGCGGUGCAAGCCAGGAGUGAAGGCCCGGGGCCCAACCCCGGGACUGCUCUUGGAACUGCGUGGCUGGAGUGCAGGAGGGGCAGGCGGAAUUCCAGGUGUAGCAGUGAAAUGCGUAGAUAUGAGGAGGAACACCGGUGGCGAAGGCGGCCUGCUGGGCUGCAACUGACGUUGAGGCCCGAAAGCGUGGGGAGCAAACAGGAUUAGAUACCCCGGUAGUC